GAGGAAUAUUGGUCAAUGGACGGAAGUCUGAACCAGCCAAGUAGCGUGCAGGAUGACGGCCCUAUGGGUUGUAAACUGCUUUUGUAUGGGGAUAAAGUUAGGGACGUGUCCCUAUUUGCAGGUACCAUACGAAUAAGGACCGGCUAAUUCCGUGCCAGCAGCCGCGGUAAUACGGAAGGUCCAGGCGUUAUCCGGAUUUAUUGGGUUUAAAGGGAGCGUAGGCUGGAGAUUAAGUGUGUUGUGAAAUGUAGACGCUCAACGUCUGACUUGCAGCGCAUACUGGUUUCCUUGAGUACGCACAACGUUGGCGGAAUUCGUCGUGUAGCGGUGAAAUGCUUAGAUAUGACGAAGAACUCCGAUUGCGAAGGCAGCUGACGGGAGCGCAACUGACGCUGAAGCUCGAAGGUGCGGGUAUCGAACAGGAUUAGAUACCCUGGUAGUCCGCACAGUAAACGAUGGAUGCCCGCUGUUGGUACCUAGUAUCAGCGGCUAAGCGAAAGCAUUAAGCAUCCCACCUGGGGAGUACGCCGGCAACGGUG
rnacentral:rRNA from 1 species